GACGAACGCUGGCGGCGUGCCUAAUACAUGCAAGUCGAGCGAAGUUUUUCUGGUGCUUGCACUAGAAAAACUUAGCGGCGAACGGGUGAGUAACACGUAAAGAACCUGCCUUAUAGACUGGGACAACUAUUGGAAACGAUAGCUAAUACCGGAUAACAGCAUUAACUGCAUGGUUGAUGUUUAAAAGUUGGUUUUGCUAACACUAUGAGAUGGCUUUGCGGUGCAUUAGCUAGUUGGUGGGGUAAAAGCCUACCAAGGCGACGAUGCAUAGCCGACCUGAGAGGGUGAUCGGCCACACUGGGACUGAGACACGGCCCAGACUCCUACGGGAGGCAGCAGUAGGGAAUCUUCCGCAAUGGGCGAAAGCCUGACGGAGCAACGCCGCGUGAGUGAAGAAGGAUUUCGGUUCGUAAAGCUCUGUUGUUAGGGAAGAAUGAUUGUGUAGUAACUAUACACAGUAGAGACGGUACCUAACCAGAAAGCCACGGCUAACUACGUGCCAGCAGCCGCGGUAAUACGUAGGUGGCAAGCGUUGUCCGGAAUUAUUGGGCGUAAAGCGCGCGCAGGUGGUUUAAUAAUUCUGAUGUGAAAGCCCACGGCUCAACCGUGGAGGGUCAUUGGAAACUGUUAAACUUGAGUGCGGGGAGAAAUUGUAAUUCCUAUUGUAGCGGUGAAAUGCGUAAG
rnacentral:rRNA from 1 species